rnacentral:rRNA from 1 species
GGACGAACGCUGGCGGCGUGCCUAAUACAUGCAAGUAGAACGCUGAAGGAAGGAGCUUGCUCUUUCCGGAUGAGUUGCGAACGGGUGAGUAACGCGUAGGUAACCUGCCUGGUAGCGGGGGAUAACUAUUGGAAACGAUAGCUAAUACCGCAUAAAAUUGAUUAUUGCAUGAUAGUCAAUUGAAAGGUGCAACUGCACCACUACCAGAUGGACCUGCGUUGUAUUAGCUAGUUGGUGGGGUAACGGCUCACCAAGGCGACGAUACAUAGCCGACCUGAGAGGGUGAUCGGCCACACUGGGACUGAGACACGGCCCAGACUCCUACGGGAGGCAGCAGUAGGGAAUCUUCGGCAAUGGACGGAAGUCUGACCGAGCAACGCCGCGUGAGUGAAGAAGGUUUUCGGAUCGUAAAGCUCUGUUGUAAGAGAAGAACGAGUGUGAGAGUGGAAAGUUCACACUGUGACGGUAUCUUACCAGAAAGGGACGGCUAACUACGU